AAAUUUGAGGGUGACCUGGCUGUGACAAGCCACCCUACUGAUUCCCAAUGUUUUUUCAACCAAUCUUACUGGCUUGCUGGGUGUCCCCUUUCCCCUCCACACUUUGUCCUUCUUGAAGCAGAAUGCUUGGUCAAAAAAGACACUUAAAAAAUAUUAUAGAACUUUCUGUGUUGAUUUCUAUGUUGAUUUCUGUUUAGGGAAAUAUCAAAACUCUGGUUUAUCAGAAUUU
rnacentral:sRNA from 1 species